rnacentral:lncRNA from 1 species
AGAGGGAGCUGUGGUUCUUCUGAGACAUGCCUAGUUCUGUCUGAAUUAGCUUCCCCAGCCAAGCUUUCCGAUCACUUGUCUGCUCCCCCCUCCGCCCCAUUCUUUCUCUCUCUUGUCUCUCGCACUCACUUACUCUUCCAUCUUUUGCCACUGUGCCAGAUAAAUUUAAAUGUAUCUGUUCAAGUGAAGAUAAUCCAUGCAAAUCAGAGCCACUGGCUCCCAAGUGCUCGAUUCACAAAGAGAGCGGUGCUUCAGGAGGUCACUCGUUCACAGCUGCUCCUCCCAUUAUAUUUUUCCCCCUUACAGCAGAAUUGCUGCUUGUAUACAGUGACUGAAAGGACUCAAUUUACUGCAACUGCUGCCUGGUUUUCCUUACAACUUUCUUUUAAAGAGGGACAUACCUUCCAGCUAUCUUGCCAAGAAAGAUCAUUUGACCUGGACCUAUCCUCUGUGACAGCAGAAAACUGGCCUUCCCCCUCCUCUCUGUGACAACGCUUGAGGUAUUUAAAGAGAGCAAUAGUGUCACUCUUCAGUCUUCUUUUCAAAAGCUGAAAUGCCCCACUCUUUUGAGUUUUCCUCAUAGGUUUUCUUCUCAAUUUUUAUUAUCAUCUUCAUUACUAUUCUCUGAACUUGCUCUAAAUUAUUUAUACCCUUCUUAAAAUGAGGCACCCAGAAAUGAACACAAUACUCCAGAUGAGGCCUGAUUAGUGAGGAAAUAGUAGAAAUAUUAUUUUCCUUGACUUGGAAACUAUGCUUCUAUUAAUGCUAGGUGGUCUAAGCUCUGUCUUGCCACCACAACAAGAUGAAGGUGGACAGUGUAGUCACUCUUGGGAACAGUCCAGAAAACUGCUGCUCUGGACAGAUUCCUGUGAUAAAUGCUUCAUGUGGAUGCACCCUUAGUCAAUGCUUAAAAUAUUGAAGAGUGCUUUCCCUAGGUAUAGCCCCCCAAAGGGUGUUUGUGUGUGGCUUGACAAAGCUCAAGUCUGCAGGCCCAGGAUUAGAGUGGAGUGAAAAAAAUUUGAUCUCUGCAUGUGAUUGUUGUCUAGGUGUAUUUGCUGUGUUGGAUUUCAUUCUUGGAAAGAUGGCUGCAAAAUUCAUUUCUUCAGCACUGAACAAAAUUAAAGGCCUGAAAAAAAUAUUUCAGAUAAAGGUCUGCUAAUGACAGCUUUUUAGCACAAAAUAUUAGCAGGUAUUGACAAGAACAAUGACACACAAAGGAAUAUCCCUUGAUGUGAAGACCACACUUAUAAGAAACUUUGUGCAAGAGAUGCAGCACUUAUGUGACUUGUAGGAAAAAGUUCUUCAAGAGACAGCGGCAGUUGCUGUAGCAGUAGGAGUGAAAUUUUAUUUCUUUUUUUCAAAUUGAAAAAUGUCUUUAGAAUCUGAACAAGAUGUCAGAAUUUCCAGUUUACCAACUAUUGGAUUUUAUCAUCAAUUAUUGAGAACAAG